GCCCCGCUGGCCCAACUGGAAGAGGCACUGGAUUUAGGUUCCAGGUGUUGGGGUUCGACUCCCUCGCGGGGCACAA
rnacentral:tRNA from 1 species